rnacentral:rRNA from 1 species
UUAAUCGGAAUNACUGGGCGCGAAGCGCACGCCGGCGGCCUGACAAGUCGGAUGUGAAAGCCCUCGGCUCAACCGGGGAACUGCAUUCGAAACUGUCAGGCUGGAGUCUCGGAGAGGCUGGCGGAAUUCCCGGUGUAGGAGUGAAAUCCGUAGAUAUCGGGAGGAACACCAGUGGCGAAGGCGGCCGCCUGGACGAUGACUGACGCUGAGGUGCGAAAGCGUGGGUAGCAAACAGGAUUAGAUACCCUGGUAGUCCACGCCGUAAACGAUGGAUGCUAGGUGUCGGGGGCUUNCCUCGGUGCCGCAGUAAACGCGAUAAGCAUCCCGCCUGGGGAGUACGGUCGCAAGGCUGAAACUCCAAGGAAUUGACGGGGGCCCGCACAAGCGGUGGAGUAUGUGGUUUAAUUCGAUGCACGCGAAGAACCCUACCUGGGUUUGACAUCCUCGGAUCCUCCAGAGAUUGGGGAGUGCCCUUCGGGGAGCCGAGAGACAGGUGCUGCAUGGCUGUCGUCAGCUCGUGCCGUGAGGUGUUGGGUUAAAUCCCGCAACGAGCGCACCCCUUGCCUAUUGCACCAGUGAAGCUGGCCUCUAGGGGACUGCCCGGUCACCGGAGGAAAGUGGGGAUGACGUCAAAUCACCAUGGGCCUUACUCCCAGGGCUANACACGUACUACANUGGCGGGUACAAGG